GACAGAGGCCUCAAGCGUUAGGCGGAAUCACUGGGCUUAAAGCGUGUGUAGGCGGAUCGUUAAGUGCCUUGUGAAAUCCCACGGCUUAACUGUGGAACGGCUGGGCAUACUGGCGGUCUUGAGCCAUCUAGGGGCGACUGGAACAAACGGUGGAGCGGUGAAAUGCGUAGAUAUGUGGAGGAACACCGAUGGCGAAGGCAGCCCCCUGGGCUAACACUGACGCUCAUGUACGAAAGCGUGGGGAGCAAACAGG
rnacentral:rRNA from 1 species